UACGAAGGGGGCUAGCGUUGUUCGGAUUUACUGGGCGUAAAGCGCACGUAGGCGGAUAUUUAAGUCAGGGGUGAAAUCCCGGGGCUCAACCCCGGAACUGCCUUUGAUACUGGGUAUCUCGAGUCCGAGAGAGGUGAGUGGAAUUCCGAGUGUAGAGGUGAAAUGCGUAGAUAUCGAGAGGAACACCUGCGGCGAAGGCGGGUUGCUGGGCUGAUACUGACGCUGAGGCGCGAAAGCCAGGGGAGCGAACGGG
rnacentral:rRNA from 1 species